UACGAGGGGGGCGAGCGUUGUUCGGAAUUACUGGGCGUAAAGCGCACGUAGGCGGUCUUUUAAGUCGGGGGUGAAAUCCUGGAGCUCAACUCCAGAACUGCCUUCGAUACUGGAAGACUUGAGUCCGGGAGAGGUGAGUGGAACUGCGAGUGUAGAGGUGAAAUUCGUAGAUAUUCGCAAGAACACCAGUGGCGAAGGCGGCUCACUGGUCCGGUACUGACGCUGAGGUGCGAAAGCGUGGGGAGCAAACAGG
rnacentral:rRNA from 1 species